UACGAAGGGGGCUAGCGUUGCUCGGAAUGACUGGGCGUAAAGGGCGCGUAGGCGGAUGGUACAGUCAGAUGUGAAAUUCCCGGGCUUAACCUGGGGGCUGCAUUCGAAACUGUCUUGCUAGAGUAUGGGAGAGGGAGGUGGAAUUUCAGGUGUAGCGGUGAAAUGCGUAGAUAUCUGAAGGAACAUCAGUGGCGAAAGCGACCUCCUGGACCAAUACUGACGCUCAGGUGCGAAAGCGUGGGGAGCAAACAGG
rnacentral:rRNA from 1 species